GGAAGUGUGCCUGAAACUUAAGGAUAACUUUGAUAGAGUUAAAAAUAGAGGUUAAAGUCCCCUCAUUUCCCU
rnacentral:tRNA from 1 species